UACGAAGGGGGCUAGCGUUGCUCGGAAUUACUGGGCGUAAAGGGCGCGUAGGCGGCACUGUUAGUCAGGCGUGAAAUUCCUGGGCUCAACCUGGGGACUGCGCUUGAUACGGCAGAGCUUGAGGAUGGAAGAGGGUCGCGGAAUUCCCAGUGUAGAGGUGAAAUUCGUAGAUAUUGGGAGGAACACCGGUGGCGAAGGCGGCGACCUGGUCCAUUACUGACGCUGAGGCGCGACAGCGUGGGGAGCAAACAGG
rnacentral:rRNA from 1 species